GGAGAGAUGCCGCAGCGGCUUAACGGAUCAGUCUUGGAAACUGGAGUAGGGGCAACGCUACCGGGGAAAACCUCCUCUCUCUGCCA
rnacentral:tRNA from 1 species